rnacentral:rRNA from 1 species
UUUUAUGGAGAGUUUGAUCCUGGCUCAGGAUGAACGCUGGCGGCGUGCCUAAUACAUGCAAGUCGAGCGAACGGAYGAGAAGCUUGCUUCUCUGAUGUUAGCGGCGGACGGGUGAGUAACACGUGGAUAACCUACCUAUAAGACUGGGAUAACUUCGGGAAACCGGAGCUAAUACCGGAUAAUAUUUUGAACCGCAUGGUUCAAAAGUAAAAGACGGUCUUGCUGUCACU